rnacentral:rRNA from 1 species
GUGGCGAACGGGUGAGUAACGCGUGAGGAACCUGCCUCAAAGAGGGGGACAACAGUUGGAAACGACUGCUAAUACCGCAUAAGCCCACAGCUCGGCAUCGAGCAGAGGGAAAAGGAGCAAUCCGCUUUGAGAUGGCCUCGCGUCCGAUUAGCUAGUUGGUGAGGUAAUGGCCCACCAAGGCGACGAUCGGUAGCCGGACUGAGAGGUUGAACGGCCACAUUGGGACUGAGACACGGCCCAGACUCCUACGGGAGGCAGCAGUGGGGAAUAUUGCACAAUGGGGGAAACCCUGAUGCAGCGACGCCGCGUGGAGGAAGAAGGUCUUCGGAUUGUAAACUCCUGUUGUUGAGGAAGAUAAUGACGGUACUCAACAAGGAAGUGACGGCUAACUACGUGCCAGCAGCCGCGGUAAAACGUAGGUCACAAGCGUUGUCCGGAAUUACUGGGUGUAAAGGGAGCGCAGGCGGGAAGACAAGUUGGAAGUGAAAUCUAUGGGCUCAACCCAUAAACUGCUUUCAAAACUGUUUUUCUUGAGUAGUGCAGAGGUAGGCGGAAUUCCCGGUGUAGCGGUGGAAUGCGUAGAUAUCGGGAGGAACACCAGUGGCGAAGGCGGCCUACUGGGCACCAACUGACGCUGAGGCU